CUUCUUUGUAAUGACGAGCCUGGACCCAAUCAAACUCCUGAGGGUUUGUGUAGGUGAGUCAGCAGCAGGGGCCUCACUGCUCUGACAUCCACAGUGCCAGGGGAGUGUGGAACAGCCUCCUGCUCCAGAGGGAAUGGACUGGAUGAUACGGGAAGAAGGGGAAAUAAAAAAUAAAUCAAAAAUUUGCAUGCAUAAUCAUUUGGCUGCUCCUAAACUCGGUUUGGGGAGGGCACAGAGCUGACCCACACAGGCUGCUGAUCUCCAUCAGCACGUGUGUGACGAGUUCUUCAUUGCUCGCACGUUUUCCCUUUUCCCAAGUGUUGGAGCAGGGAGUUUGUGCAGGUGCCUGGCUGUGGGAUCCCCCAGCUGUCCCAGCAAUGCAGAGCCUGAAUUCUCACCUCUGCUUCCCUGAGGUGUCUCUUUUUGGGUGGUGUUGAACUUCCCUGUGAGCAGGUUGGAGUCAGCGCUGCAGCCAAGCACAGGGAAGGUGCUGUGGGCAGCAGAGCUGGGAUCCUUCCUGGCAGAAAUAUCUUGCAGCAUCCCAGAGCUUCCUGAGGUCUGCAGCAAACAUCUGGGCCAAAAUUGGGAAAAUCAAGAUGGAUACAGAGGCCAGGAUUCCUGGGUGGCUGAGGGAGCUGAACCUUGUUCUUCACAUGGAGGUGGUAAAGCAAGAGCCUGCUCUGACCUGGGAAAAUUGAGAAUAAACACAGCCCUUGAUGAGUCUGCAGUGCAGGGGGAUCUGAGCAGGGCUGGGACUCAUGCCUUUUCCCAGCAAUUAACUUAAAAAUAGAGUUGAAGUUGAAAUAUGCUUUGAAGGUCAGAAUAUCAGGUCAGUGUGUGUCUGAUGGUUUUUCCUGGGUAAGGUGUUGAGAGAGGACAAAAUAUUCUUCAUUUUCAAAGUCACUCUGCUGGCCAUAGAAUCUGUGCAGAAAAUGACUUUUCUUUGUAUUCCCUGCUGCAGGAAAAAGGGACAUUAACUCCACAUAGCCAUUUUCUGGUCUGCUUUUUGUUCGAGUCAACAGCUGCUCUGUCACGUUUGAUACUGUGGUUUCACAAAGUUUUGCAGUGACCUUAUUUACCUGUUUUUCUAGAUAAAAAUCUCCACCACAGUUGCUAACUGAUCUUGAGCUUAAUGACUGCCUUAGGGAGAGGCAGUAAUCACUUUACUCCUGCAUGUUUUAACCUCUUCCUCAGCCUGCUUCAAUCAGAAAUGUUUAGAAGUGGAUUAAGAUUUACUACAUGAACAGGAAGCUUCAGACUAUACACUCAGAAAUUAUUCAUGCAAACUCCAAAUACUUUAUUUACAUCUUUAAGAACUUCCAUGUAAUUUCUGCUUUCAUAAUCCAGCAUUCUGCCAAAUCCUUUCCAGUAGUGGUGGGGACUGUUUGGAUGGUUAUACACAAUUUUCUUCUGAGAAAUGGAAGGUCUGGCAGGUGAAAAGACAGACUGAAAAUCUGUGCAAGUGUAGUGGGUAUAGAGAGUUCUUCCUCAUUUUAGAUUUGACUAAAUUUGAUAUUGGGGAGUUUGCAGCCACAGGGAGCUGUCUUUAAAAACAAAACAAAGCAAAAACUGACCAAAACAAUCACUCUGUGUUUUGGUUCCUUCACUUCCCUUUGUUGUACUGAAACCUUCUUUAAAAGCCUUGAACCUGAUAUUUAAGAUGACUCCCCUACUCAUUUAAAUGAGCCAAGUAAAUAGUAAAACAUCUCAUUAUUGAAUUAAUUUGUAUUACUUCUCUACAUGGGAUCUCUCUAGCUCCGUGGUGCACUUGGUAAAUUUAAAAGCUCGUGUUCCCACACAGAGAUUAUUUGCUUGAUCUCUGCCUCCUGCCAAAAAGCUGCUUCAAAACUCCUAUUUUAAAAUUCAUAGUGAAGCAUGAGAGGGGGGAGCAUUCAGUGGGUUUGGAUUUUUUCGUUUUGUUUGUGGUUUUGUUUUUUUCUUUUAAUAUUGCCAUCCUCAAGUUGUGUUGCUCUCAGCAGUGAAGUGUCUGGCUGGCUCUGUACAACAGUGACAGCCAAGAAGUUUUUCCCUCCCUCGGAUGCUCCAAGCAGGGCUGACACAGAGCAGCUCCCAAUAUUUCCCUCACAAUGCUGUCCCAGUGCUGUCCCUUUUUAAAACCAAAUUAUUUGCACAAGAAAUUCUGGACUUUUUUUUUCCCCCUCUGUUUCUUUCCCCUCGUUGCCUCUCAAGUCUGGGGUUGGGUGAGAUUUGCUCCUUCUACACAGCCCUGUUAACUCUGUCCCUGCAGUGGAUUCCUGCCAAGGAGGAGCCCGAGCCAGGAGCAGUCUGCCAGUCUGAAGGUGAGUUCCCUGCAGACAGCAGAUGAUGAAAUCCAUCUCUGCACUUUUCAUUCUUACAGCAUUUUUAAGUGGAUUGUGUUUAAGGGUUAUACUGCUUUUAAGGCAAGGAUUGGUCUAUUUUGCUUCAUGUUUUUGUUGUUUAAAGAAUGUCUCCUCUGUUGUUUGUCUGGUUUAUCUGUGGCUAGUUUUAGCAGGAUUCCCUUUCCAGUAUAACAUUGAAAAUUGGUGUGUUGUUUGUAGUAGGGAAUCAUAGGAAAAUUCAGGUUGGGAAAGCCCUCCCAGACCACUGAGUCCAGCAAUCCCCACCUUGUCCCCAGCCCAGAGCUCUGAGUGCCACAUCCAGGAAUUCCAUGGGAACCUCCAGGGAUGGGCACUCCAAACCUGCCUGGGCAGCCCCUGCCAAUCCCUGAGCCCCCUUUCCAUGGGGAAAUUCCUGCUGGUGUCCACCCUGAGCCUCCCCUGGCCCAGCCUGAGGCCUUUUCCUCUUGGAGCAGAGCCCGACCCCCCUGAGCCAUUUGGGAAAAACCCCUGGAAAGCUGAGGAGAGAGUCCACGUGUCCUGGGGAGAUACCUGACCUUAGUGCAGAAACCCCGGUCAGGAGGACUCCCAGUCCUCAGGAAUUGCCAAGAUCAGGCUGUAACAACUACAGCUGGCCCAGAGGAAGAGUGUGAAUGAAAGUCAGGGUGGUGUUUGCAUCCAGCAAACGUGACUGGGCUUGUUUCCUCCAGGGUGAUUCCAUGUGCAUCCCUGAGCUGACAGAUGGAUACUCCAAAGGGCUUCAGACAUCAUUUGCUCCCAGUUCCUUCUGUCCAGUGACCUGCUGCUGGUGGCUUGGUUUAGGAGGAAUCCUGGUGGCUGAAGAACCUUUUCUCACGUGCAGAUCUAUCUUGUCAUGGGAAUCUCCAUGGGGUGAAAUCUUU